GACGAACGCUGGCGGCGUGCUUAACACAUGCAAGUCGAACGGACAGACAGAGAGCUUGCUCUCUUGAAGUUAGUGGCGAACGGGUGAGUAACGCGUAAUCAACCUGCCCUUCAGAGGGGGAUAACAACGGGAAACCGUUGCUAAUACCGCGUACGAUUCAUGAACGGCAUCGUUUAUGAAUGAAAGGUGGCCUCUAUGUAUAAGCUAUCGCUGAAGGAGGGGAUUGCGUCUGAUUAGCGAGUUGGAGGGGUAACGGCCCACCAAGGCAAUGAUCGGUAGCCGGUCUGAGAGGAUGAACGGCCACAUUGGGACUGAGACACGGCCCAAACUCCUACGGGAGGCAGCAGUGGGGAAUCUUCCGCAAUGGACGAAAGUCUGACGGAGCAACGCCGCGUGAGUGAUGAAGGUCUUCGGAUUGUAAAGCUCUGUUAAUCGGGACGAAAGAGUUCUGCGUGAAUAAUGCAGAAAAGUGACGGUACCGGAAUAGAAAGCCACGGCUAACUACGUGCCAGCCGCCGCUGUAA
rnacentral:rRNA from 1 species